UACGGAGGGUGCAAGCGUUGUCCGGAUUUAUUGGGUUUAAAGGGUGCGUAGGCGGCUUUUUAAGUCAGUGGUGAAAUCCUGCAGCUUAACUGUAGAACAGCCAUUGAUACUGAAGAGCUUGAGUACAGACGAGGUAGGCGGAAUUUAUGGUGUAGCGGUGAAAUGCAUAGAUACCAUAAAGAACCCCUAUUGCGAAGGCAGCUUACUAGGCUGUAACUGACGCUGAGGCACGAAAGCGUGGGGAUCAAACAGG
rnacentral:rRNA from 1 species